rnacentral:rRNA from 1 species
AGCAGCCGCGGUAAUUCCAGCUCCAAUAGCGUAUAUUAAAGUUGUUGCAGUUAAAAAGCUCGUAGUUGAAUUUCGGGAUUAGUAGGUUGGUCGUGCCUCUGGUAUGUACUCGCCUUACUGGUUCCUCCUUCUUGAAGAACUGUAAUGCCAUUAAUUUGGUGUUGCAGGGACACAGGACUGUUACUUUGAAAAAAUUAGAGUGUUUAAAGCAGGCCAUUGCCUGAAUACAUUAGCAUGGAAUAAUGAAAUAGGACGUUGAUCCUAUUUUGUUGGUUUCUAGGAUUGACGUAAUGAUUAAUAGGGAUAGUUGGGGGCAUUAGUAUUCAAUUGUCAGAGGUGAAAUUCUUGGAUUUAUUGAAGACUAACUACUGCGAAAGCAUUUGCCAAGGAUGUUUUCAUUAAUCAAGAACGAAAGUUAGGGGAUCGAAGACGAUCAGAUACCGUCGUAGUCUUAACCAUAAACUAUGCCGACUAGGGAUCGGAUGAUGUUAAUUUUUUAAUGACUCAUUCGGCGCCUUACGG